AGAUGGGGGUGAUCUGGCUGUGACGUGUCACUCCUAUUGAGUACCAUGGUGGAUUCAGCUGUUCUGAGGAUGAGGGUGUCCUUUUCCCCCUUUGCUACUUCAUGCGCAUCUUUCUUGGAGCAGUUCACUCAAUUAAAGGUGACCCAGUUGUGGCCUACUAAGGUACAGAAGUAGAUGUGCUCCCUUGCUACGACAAGCUUUUCAGUGUCCUUUCUGUAUAGCCCUCAAAGCUGGAUACUCAUACUAAAGUAGUAAUCUGAUGAAAACAGAAAAGCAUGAUAAAUAUUGUCCUUGAUUUGGACACUAUGCUGUUUU
rnacentral:snRNA from 1 species